rnacentral:rRNA from 1 species
UACGUAGGGGGGCAAGCGUUGUCCGGAGUUACUGGGCGUAAAGCGCACGCAGGCGGUCUCUUAAGUUUGGAGUGACAGUUGGUGGCUUAACUGCCAAAGUGCUUCGAAAACUGAGAGACUUGAGGGCUUCAGAGGGACACGGAAUUCCGGGUGGAGUGGUGAAAUGCGUAGAGAUCCGGAGGAACACCAAAGGCGAAGGCAGUGUCCUGGGGAGACCUGACGCUCAGGUGCGGAAAGCCAGGGGAGCGAACGGGG